rnacentral:rRNA from 2 species
CACAUUGGAACGAGUUGGCGAACUGGUGAGUAACACGUGGAAAACCUGCCCAGAAGCAGGGGAUAACACUUGGAAACAGGUGCUAAUACCGUAUAACAACAAAAACCGCAUGGUUUUUGUUUGAAAGGUGGCUUCGGCUAUCACUUCUGGAUGGUUCCGCGGCGCAUUAGCUUGUUGGUGGGGUAACGGCUCACCAAGGCGAUGAUGCGUAGCCGACCUGAGAGGGUAAUCGGCCACAUUGGGACUGAGACACGGCCCAGACUCCUACGGGAGGCAGCAGUAGGGAAUCUUCCACAAUGGACGCAAGUCUGAUGGAGCAAUGCCGCGUGAGUGAAGAAGGGUUUCGGCUCGUAAAACUCUGUUGUUGAAGAAGAACGGGUGUCAGAGUAACUGUUGACAUCGUGACGGUAUUCAACCAGAAAGCCACGGCUAACUACGUGCCAGCAGCCGCGGUAAUACGUAGGUGGCAAGCGUUGUCCGGAUUUAUUGGGCGUAAAGCGAGCGCAGGCGGUUUCUUAAGUCUGAUGUGAAAGCCUUCGGCUUAACCCGAAGAAGUGCAUCGGAAACUGGGGAACUUGAGUGCAGAAGAGGACAGUGGAACUCCAUGUGUAGCGGUGGAAUGCGUAGAUAUAUGGAAGAA